UUCCGAGGGCGGCCGUUUGGCGGGCUGGUCUCCUCAGGUCGCCGUCCACCUCAAACCUCCGGCGGGCAGCCGCCCUCUCCCGUCCUGCCUGUCCCGUCCUGGCGGUGAGAAGCGCCGCACGUCCGGCAGGCAGCCCGGGGAAUUGCAAUGUCCAUGGGUUGGAUGUCAAGCGGCUGGGAAGGGCACAAUUUCCACUCUGCAGGGAAAGGUGUUGCCGGAGUUUGGGAAGGAGACAUCAUAACAAAUGGAGCCAUUAGAAUGGAGUGAGACAACAUUGCAUAAGGGAUGAUGAAAAUACAGAACGAUGGUUCCCCUUCAAAGAGCUUACAGCUGGAUACAGAUGAGCUUGUGAGAAAAGAGUGGGAAAGAAUGAGAUACCAAAACCGGACACCUGCCGGUAUCUGUCUCACUGAUGCUUCAUCCGGAGAGAAAAUUGCUUCCCUACUCCUACUUCUUACUCCUUGGAAACAUCUGAG